rnacentral:lncRNA from 1 species
UGUCCCAACGGCCCAUUGUCAACACCUACAUCCAAUCUCGCGCUGCCACGUGCACGAACAUCCGCUUCCUCCACCUGCCUGCGGUGGACCCGCCUUCCCCUGAUCAGUACCAGUCCUCGAUGGGUUACAUAUCCCUGCUCAUACAAAACCACAAAACCCACGUGAAGAGUGCCCUCACCAACCUCAUGUCAUCCGAGUCAGACGAGUUUAACUCGGGCCGAGUUGCUGGGCUUUUCGUGGACAUGUUUUGUACAUCCAUGAUUGAUGUUGCUAACGAGCUUG